rnacentral:rRNA from 1 species
UACGGAGGGUGCGAGCGUUGUCCGGAAUCACUGGGCGUAAAGGGCGCGUAGGCGGCUUGGGAAGUCCGUGGUGAAAGCUCGUGGCUCAACUACGAGUCGGCCAUGGAUACUCCUAAGCUCGAGUCGACUAGAGGCAGAUGGAAUUCCGGGUGUAGCGGUGGAAUGCGUAGAGAUCCGGAAGAACACCGGUGGCGAAGGCGGCCAUCUGGACCGCAACUGACGCUGAGGCGCGAAAGCGUGGGGAGCAAACAGG